rnacentral:tRNA from 1 species
GUCUUUCUAGUAUUAACCCAGUAUGUGUGACUUCCAAUCACUUGGUCUUGGUGAAAGUCCAAGGAAAGAUA